UACGUAGGGUGCGAGCGUUAAUCGGAAUUACUGGGCGUAAAGCGUGCGCAGGCGGUUUUGUAAGACAGGCGUGAAAUCCCCGGGCUCAACCUGGGAACUGCCUUUGUGACUGCAUAGCUAGAGUACGGUAGAGGGGGAUGGAAUUCCGCGUGUAGCAGUGAAAUGCGUAGAUAUGCGGAGGAACACCGAUGGCGAAGGCAAUCCCCUGGACCUGUACUGACGCUCAUGCACGAAAGGCGUGGGGAGCAAACAGG
rnacentral:rRNA from 1 species